rnacentral:rRNA from 1 species
CAAAGGUAGCAUAAUCAUUAGGGAUUUAAUUGGAACCUGGUAUGAAGGGUUGGACAAAGGAAAGACUGUCUAUAUAAUAUAAAUUGAAAUUUACCUUUAAGUGAAAAGGCUUAAAUAAGUCAAAGGGACGAUAAGACCCUAUAAAGCUUUAUAAAUAAUUAAAAUUUAAUUGAUUUAGUGAUUAAAGGUUAAGUUUAUAUUAUUUUAUUUUAUUGGGGUGAUAUGAGUAUAAGUGUUGUUAACUGCUUAAAAAAAAUUCUGGUAUUAGAGAAUUGAUUAAGUGAAUGAUCCUUUAUAAAGAUUAAAAGACUAAGUUACUUUAGGGAUAACAGCGUUAUUUCUUUUGAGAGUUCAUAUCGAAAAAGAAGAUUGCGACCUCGAUGUUGAAUUAAAAUAUCUAUAUAAUGUAGCCGUUAUAAAAGAGGGUCUGUUCGACCUUUAAAUUUUUACAUGAUUUGAGUUCA